rnacentral:rRNA from 1 species
UAAGAUUGUAGUAUCGCAUGAUAUAGCAAUUAAAGGAAGCAAUCCGCUAUAAGAUGGACCCGCGUCGCAUUAGCUAGUUGGUGAGGUGAUGGCUCACCAAGGCGACGAUGCGUAGCCGACCUGAGAGGGUGAUCGGCCACAUUGGGACUGAGACACGGCCCAGACUCCUACGGGAGGCAGCAUG